rnacentral:rRNA from 1 species
GGCGGCGUGCNUAACACAUGCAAGUCGAGCGCGAAAGCCACCUUCGGGUGGUGAGUAGAGCGGCGGACGGGUGAGUAACGCGUGAACAACCUACCCCCAAGACCGGGAUAACACCGGGAAACUGGUGCUAAUACCGGAUAAACUUGCAUACCGCAUGGUGUGCAAGCAAAGGGGUUUACCGCUUGGGGAUGGGUUCGCGUCCCAUUAGCUAGUUGGUGAGGUAACGGCUCACCAAGGCGACGAUGGGUAGCCGGCCUGAGAGGGUGUACGGCCACACUGGGACUGAGACACGGCCCAGACUCCUACGGGAGGCAGCAGUGGGGAAUAUUGGGCAAUGGGGGAAACCCUGACCCAGCGACGCCGCGUGGGUGAAGAAGGCCUUCGGGUUGUAAAGCCCUGUCACGGGGGACGAUAGUGACGGUACCCUGGGAGGAAGCCCCGGCUAACUACGUGCCAGCAGCCGCGGUAACACGUAGGGGGCGAGCGUUGUCCGGAAUUACUGGGCGUAAAGGGCGCGUAGGCGGUUAGCCGUGUCAGGUGUGAAAGGCUGGGGCUUAACCCCAGACCUGCACUUGAGACUGGCUAACUUGAGGGCAGGAGAGGCAGGUGGAAUUCCUGGUGUAGCGGUGAAAUGCGUAGAUAUCAGGAGGAACACCGGUGGCGAAGGCGACCUGCUGGACUGGCCCUGACGCUGAGGCGCGAAAGCGUGGGGAGCGAACAGGAUUAGAUACCCUGGUAGUCCACGCUGUAAACGAUGGGUACUAGGUGUAGGGGGUUAUGAUACCCUCUGUGCCGUAGCUNACGCGAU